rnacentral:lncRNA from 1 species
UACACUUCUGGUGAUUAAAUCUACAAAUGAACAGGGAAGAGUUAAUCCUAGCUUCACAAUCCUCCCUGUGAUCAUUUAGGAGACUAGUCUCCCCAAAUUAAUUUGACAUAAUCAUCUUGUACCCCUAAAAAUCUUCUAACUACAGGUGUACGCAACAUUGCACCUUCUGAGAAGAAACUACAAUAGAAAUAAGAGGGAAAUAGAAGAGAGAGAAUGCAAACCAAUGGUUGCUAGGUACAUUGACAAAAAGCCAAUUAGGGGGCAGUCCCCUUUGGCAUAAAAGUUUACAUUCAAAAUAAAUGUCCAACCCCCCCCUCAGUUCAAUCAAUUGCACUAAAAAAUUCAUUCUGGAUCUUUUUGAUGUAAUGUAGGUUUCUGCAGGCAUCUUUCUCCAAACAGUUCAUUCUCUGGAUUCAAGGAGUUAGCAAGCUUCAUCCCCUGGAAUUUUCCUCAAACAAAAUUUUAAAUCUUUUAAAUCUUAGAUUUUUAUGAAAAUAUAAUAUACUACUAAUCCUUAUAUGACAUGAAUUCAAGAUACUUUGCCAUCCUGGAUGCUCUUCUCUAGACAUUACAUCUUAUCCAAAGCCUUUCUUUAACCACAGUAUCCAGAAAUAAUAUAUACUAUUCCAAAUGAUAUCUGAGUACAAUGGGUUGAUCACUUUACUAUCCCUAACCAUUCAGCCCCAAGAUCACAUUAGACAUCAUGCACCAUCACAAUACUGACUCAUUUCAAAUUUGCAGUCCAGUAAGAGGGCAAAGGGAAAGGAACAAGCAUUUCUUAAGCACCUACUUUGUUUCAGGCAUUUUAUCUAAUACUUUCUCAAUCCUUAUGACAACUGCAGGAGCUCCAGCCCAGUGUUCUAGUCUUCCAGAGAGUUACAUAUCCCUUCCAGCUUUGUGCCAUCUGCAUAUUGGAUGAGUAUGCCAUCUACAGUUUUUAUCCAAGCCACUAAAUUGUUCCUAGGACAAUGAAGACUGAAAAGAAAGUAAAAUUUCUUCUCUAGUCAAUCCUAUAAGUCUCCUGGGAGUCUUUACCUUUUAAGAGAGUUUAAUAGAGAUUAUAGAUAAUUUGUUUGCAUAUCUAUGAAACCCAUAGAUAGACUUUUUUAUUCUUAAAUCUCUGGGGAGUCUUUUUCCACCUCUUGAAAGAAUAUAAUAGGAUAAAUAGGUUAAUGUUUCAUGUUUUAAAUAUUUAUCAAUGUGUACUUACAAGCCUUUUAUAUUUUAAGCAUUUCUUUUGUGGCCUAUUUAGCUUUUCUAGAAGUGAGUCUCUUGAUCUAUAUUGGUAUGGCUCUAGACAUAAGUCAAACCAAAAGUUUACUGAGACUUCCCCCUGAUAAAUAUUCUGGGAUACCAGCAUACCAGGAGUCAGGGAAUAUAAGAAAAUCCCAAUGCCUUCUCUUUGGGGUAAACUUUCCAGCAUCCAACCCCAAAGGGUUUGUAUAAUACAAAACUUGGUCCUAUUUUGGGAGCCCCUCCCUAUUCCCACUCCAACACACACACCUCAGCCAAAAGUGACUUUCAUCAUGGCAGGAAUAUGGUGUAAUAGGUGACAGCACAAUCAGAAGACCAGGAUAUUAAUAUUUAUUUUACUGGGCCUCAGUUUUUAUUCAUAAAGUGAAGAGACUAGUCUGAAAAAUUGUUAAAGCCCUUUCUCUUUCUACAAUUACAAAACUAUUAUAUUCCUCAUUGGUGUUUAAUACAAAGUAGUCACAUUUUGGGGUUGGUUGUUCCAGCUCAGUCUUGGCAAUAUUUUUAUUUAUUUUUGUUAGCUUUGUUUUCAGAGUCAAAUGAGAGCCAGGAAGGAAGGUGAUUCAAGGAAUCUUUUACUCUGAUUAAACAGCUUGAAUACUAUAAAAGCUUCAGACUUAAGAAAAUAACUUGUGGAGGGACGAUGGGGAUAUGUUUGGGGAUAUAGA